AUUGAACGCCGGCGGCAGGCCUAACACAUGCAAGUCGAGCGGGGUUUUCGGACCUAGCGGCGGACGGGUGAGUAAUGCGUAGGAAGCUGCCCGAUAGAGGGGGAUACCAGUUGGAAACGACUGUUAAUACCGCAUAAUGUCUACGGACCAAAGUGUGGGACCUUCGAGCCACAUGCUAUCGGAUGCGCCUACGUGGGAUUAGCUAGUUGGUGGGGUAAUGGCUCACAAAGGCGACGAUCUCUAGCUGGUUUGAGAGGAUGAUCAGCCACACUGGAACUGAGACACGGUCCAGACUCCUACGGGAGGCAGCAGUGGGGAAUAUUGGACAAUGGGCGCAAGCCUGAUCCAGCCAUGCCGCGUGUGUGAAGAAGGCCUUCGGGUUGUAAAGCACUUUCAGCGAGGAGGAAGGGUGGUGUGUUAAUAGCACAUCAUUUUGACGUUACUCGCAGAAGAAGCACCGGCUAACUCUGUGCCAGCAGCCGCCGUAA
rnacentral:rRNA from 1 species